rnacentral:misc_RNA from 1 species
UAUUACUUUGUGUCUCUUAGUCAACCUGAUCUGGUCUAUGUUCGUGGGGAGGGCAUCAUGGGCAUGUCCACUCCCCCCGCACUCGCCCAUGCUCGUCGCACAGACCAAAGCAGGCACUCCCGCACCCACUCCCUCAUAUCGAGGGGCACCAUCCAGCACCCCUCCCCCACUAAUGAUCCUUCCGCAGGUUCACCUACGGAAA